rnacentral:rRNA from 1 species
CCUACGGGAGGCAGCAGUGGGGAAUAUUGGGCAAUGGGCGCAAGCCUGACCCAGCAAUGCCGCGUGAACGAGGAAGGUCUUCGGAUCGUAAAGUUCUGUUGAAGGGGAAAAAGAGCGGAGAGAGGAAAUGAACUCCGAUUGAUAUUACCCUUCGAGGAAGUCACGGCUAACUACGUGCCAGCAGCCGCGGUAAUACGUAGGUGGCGAGCGUUAUCCGGAAUGAUUGGGCGUAAAGGGUGCGUAGGCGACCUGCUAAGUCUGGAGUGAAAGGUACCGGCUCAACCGGUACAGGCUCUGGAAACUGGCGGGCUAGAGAGCAGGAGAGGGCGGUGGAACUCCAUGUGUAGCGGUAAAAUGCGUAGAUAUAUGGAAGAACACCAGUGGCGAAGGCGGCCGCCUGGCCUGUUGACUGACGCUGAGGCACGAAAGCGUGGGGAGCAAAUAGGAUUAGAUACCCCAGUAGUC